CGGGCGGAACGGUGUCUCCUUCACUUCGCCCUCCAGCUGCUGCAGCUGCAGCCCGACCGCGAGCGUGCCAAGCGGCUUCAGCAGCUAGCGGAGCGGUGGCGGCGGCCCCCCUCAGGACACCACCAGAUUCCCCUUUUCCCGCGGCCUCGCCAUGGCGACCCACGGACAGACUUGCGCGCGUCCAAUGUGUAUUCCUCCAUCAUAUGCUGACCUUGGCAAAGCUGCCAGAGAUAUUUUCAACAAAGGAUUUGGUUUUGGGUUGGUGAAACUGGAUGUGAAAACAAAGUCUUGCAGUGGCGUGAUAUCACAAUUUCUGGCUGUAGUCUCUUUAUUAUUUUCACAUCAGCUGUCUUCCUUAGGCUUGGCGUGGUGAUGCUUGUGAUCCCAGCUACUCAGGAGGCUGAGGAAUUUUCAACGUCCGGUUCAUCUAAUACAGACACUGGUAAAGUUACUGGGACCUUGGAGACCAAAUACAAGUGGUGUGAGUAUGGUCUGACUUUCACAGAAAAGUGGAACACUGAUAACACUCUGGGAACAGAAAUCGCAAUUGAAGACCAGGUAACAUUUUGAAAAUUUUAGUAUUAAUUUUAUUAAUUUAUUUUUGUAUUUCAAAAAAAGAAAACAAAUUACUUUUCUUUCAAAAUAGAUUUGUCAAGGUUUGAAACUGACAUUUGAUACUACCUUCUCACCAAACACAGGAAAGAAAAGUGGUAAAAUCAAGUCUUCUUACAAGAGGGAGUGUAUAAACCUUGGUUGUGAUGUUGACUUUGAUUUUGCUGGACCUGCAAUCCAUGGUUCAGCUGUCUUUGGUUAUGAGGG
rnacentral:sRNA from 1 species